rnacentral:rRNA from 1 species
UGAGGAAUAUUGGUCAAUGGGCGAGAGCCUGAACCAGCCAAGUAGCGUGCAGGAUGACGGCCCUAUGGGUUGUAAACUGCUUUUAUAUGGGAAUAAAGUGAGGGACGUGUCCCUUAUUGCAUGUACCAUACGAAUAAGGACCGGCUAAUUCCGUGCCAGCAGCCGCGGUAAUACGGAAGGUCCAGGCGUUAUCCGGAUUUAUUGGGUUUAAAGGGAGCGUAGGCUGUUUGUUAAGCGUGUUGUGAAAUGUAGGAGCUCAACUUUUAGAUUGCAGCGCGAACUGGCAGACUUGAGUGCGCACAACGUAGGCGGAAUUCAUGGUGUAGCGGUGAGAUGCUUAGAUAUCAUGACGAACUCCGAUUGCGAAGGCAGCUUACGGGAGCGCAACUGACGCUAAAGCUCGAAGGUGCGGGUAUCGAACAGG